UCAGACGAUGCGUCAUGCAUAUCAAUAAGCGGAGGAAAAGAAACUAACAAGGAUUCCCUUAGUAACGGCGAGUGAAGCGGGAAGAGCUCAAAUUUGAAAUCUUCAAGGGUUUACCUUUACGAAUUGUAGUUUAAAGAAGUGUUUUCUGCUGAAGUUUUGGUAAAAGUUCUUUGGAAUAGGACAUCAUAGAGGGUGAGAAUCCCGUAUUUGACCAUUAUUUUCAGCUUUGUGAUACACUUUCAAAGAGUCGGAUUGUUUGGGAAUGCAGUCCAAAAUGGGUGGUAAAUUUCAUCUAAAGCUAAAUAUUGGCGAGAGACCGAUAGCGAACAAGUACCGUGAGGGAAAGAUGAAAAGAACUUUGAAAAGAGAGUUAAAUCAGUACGUGAAAUUGUCAAAAGGGAAGCGUUUGACACCAGUGUUGUUUUUCUGAAAAUCAAUUAAAGAACUGUUUAUGCUAAGUUGUUUAGACUUUAUCAGCUAACUGUUUAGUUUUGAGCUUUUCUUUAAUGCACUUUUCAGUUAACAAGUCAACAUCAAUUUCUUUUGCUGUAAAAAAGCUUGAGGAAGGUGGCUUGAGAUUCGUCUUAAGUGUUUAUAGCCUCUUGCCUAUGCAGUCGGAGAGAUUGAGGUCUGCAGCGUAGAUCCUUCGGGGCUAAAUGCAUUUGUGCUAAGUUAUAGCAUUUUAUAGACAACUUGUUGACUAUGAUUUGUCUUGUAGCUUACUCGCUUAUGUUAUUUUACCUACGCUUAGGAUGUUGAAGUCAUCGUAUCGCGC
rnacentral:rRNA from 1 species